rnacentral:rRNA from 1 species
GGAUUAACGCUGGCGGCGUGCCUAAUACAUGCAAGUCGAGCGAACAGAUGAGGAGCUUGCUCCUCUGACGUUAGCGGCGGACGGGUGAGUAACACGUGGAUAACCUACCUAUAAGACUGGGAUAACUUCGGGAAACCGGAGCUAAUACCGGAUAAUAUAUUGAACCGCAUGGUUCAAUAGUGAAAGACGGUUUUGCUGUCACUUAUAGAUGGAUCCGCGCCGCAUUAGCUAGUUGGUAAGGUAACGGCUUACCAAGGCAACGAUGCGUAGCCGACCUGAGAGGGUGAUCGGCCACACUGGAACUGAGACACGGUCCAGACUCCUACGGGAGGCAGCAGUAGGGAAUCUUCCGCAAUGGGCGAAAGCCUGACGGAGCAACGCCGCGUGAGUGAUGAAGGUCUUCGGAUCGUAAAACUCUGUUAUUAGGGAAGAACAAAUGUGUAAGUAACUAUGCACGUCUUGACGGUACCUAAUCAGAAAGCCACGGCUAACUACGUG